AGGCAGCAGUGGGGGAAUAUUGCACAAUGGGCGCAAGCCUGAUGCAGCCAUGCCGCGUGUAUGAAGAAGGCCUUCGGGUUGUAAAGUACUUUCAGCAGUGAGGAAGGUGGAUAUGUUAAUAGCAUAUUCAUUUGACGUUAGCUGCAGAAGAAGCACCGGCUAACUCCGUGCCAGCAGCCGCGGUAAUACGGAGGGUGCGAGCGUUAAUCGGAAUUACUGGGCGUAAAGCGCAUGCAGGUGGUUUGUUAAGUCAGAUGUGAAAGCCCGGGGCUCAACCUCGGAAUUGCAUUUGAAACUGGCAAACUAGAGUACUGUAGAGGGGGUAGAAUUUCAGGUGUAGCGGUGAAAUGCGUAGAGAUCUGAAGGAAUACCGGUGGCGAAGGCGGCCCCCUGGACAGAUACUGACACUCAGAUGCGAAAGCGUGGGGAGCAAACAGGAUUAGAUACCCUGGUAG
rnacentral:rRNA from 1 species